UACGGAGGGUCCGAGCGUUAAUCGGAAUUACUGGGCGUAAAGCGUGCGCAGGCGGUUUGUUAAGCCAGAUGUGAAAUCCCCGGGCUCAACCUGGGAAUUGCAUUUGGAACUGGCGAACUAGAGUCUUGUAGAGGGGGGUAGAAUUCCAGGUGUAGCGGUGAAAUGCGUAGAUAUCUGGAGGAAUACCGGUGGCGAAGGCGGCCCCCUGGACAAAGACUGACGCUCAUGCACGAAAGCGUGGGGAGCAAACAGG
rnacentral:rRNA from 1 species